UACGUAGGGCGCAAGCGUUAUCCGGAAUUAUUGGGCGUAAAGGGCUCGUAGGCGGUUUGUCGCGUCUGCCGUGAAAGUCCGGGGCUCAACUCCGGAUCUGCGGUGGGUACGGGCAGACUAGAGUGAUGUAGGGGAGACUGGAAUUCCUGGUGUAGCGGUGAAAUGCGUAGAGAUCCGGAGGAACCCCAGAGGCGAAGGCGGCGUCCUGGCCCAUUUCUGACGUUCAGACAUGACAGCAUGGGGAGCGAACGGG
rnacentral:rRNA from 1 species